GGCCCCAUCGUCUAGUGGCCCAGGACGCCGCCCUCUCAAGGCGGUAGCACGGGUUCGAAUCCCGUUGGGGCUACCA
rnacentral:tRNA from 1 species